rnacentral:tRNA from 1 species
CCCUUGCUGGCCCAGUGGUUAGGACCCCACACUUCCACUGUGGGGGGCCUGGGUUCAAUUCCUGGUCAGGGAA